AGUGAACGCUGGCGGCGUGCUUAACACAUGCAAGUCGAACGAGAACGGGUUAUAGCUUGCUAUAAUUGUCAGCUAAGUGGCGCACGGGUGAGUAAUGUAUAGGUAAUAUGCCUCUUACUAAGGGAUAACAAAUGGAAACGUUUGCUAAUACCUUAUACUCCUUAUUAACAUAUGUUAAUAAGGGAAAGAUUUAUUGGUAAGAGAUUAGCCUGUAUUGUAUCAGUUAGUUGGUGGGGUAAUGGCUUACCAAGACUAUGACACAUAACUGGUUUGAGAGGAUGAUCAGUCACACUGGAACUGAGACACGGUCCAGACUCCUACGGGAGGCAGCAGUGGGGAAUAUUGCACAAUGGACGAAAGUCUGAUGCAGCAACGCCGCGUGGAGGAUGACACAUUUCGGUGCGUAAACUCCUUUUAUAUGAGAAGAUAAUGACGGUAUUAUAUGAAUAAGCACCGGUUAACUCCGUGCCAGCAGCCGCUGUAA
rnacentral:rRNA from 1 species